rnacentral:lncRNA from 1 species
CGUAAGCUCGGAUGGUCACGGCGGCAGCAUGACAUCAUGCACUGUCGCCCUGUUUCUCUGUGUGUUCCUGUGUUCCAUCGACCUGUCUGAGGAGAAAAUCAACGAUUAUUUUGAAAAUGUAGCAUCCUGGGGAAAACAUCUGGAAAACGAGACUGUCCUCAUAGAAACAAACAACAUAAUGGAGAUGAUCUUGAGCGGCUUCAAUCGAUUCUGUGAAAAAACACAACACGACGAGAAUUCGUUUUUACGCAAUAUGGCUUGUAGCAUCACUUAUCAUCACGACGCCAAACAAAGAAUAAGCGAGGAGGAGCAAGUAGUCAGAGUCCCUUUCUUUCACCUGGCCUGCCUAUAUGUCAAAUUAAUGAAUAUCAGGGUUCAAGAUGGGAAGCCACCUCCAGUUUGCGGUGACUUUGAUGUGAUUUUUGGCCUUUAUCAGAAAGUCAAUGAAUUUACACAAAAUUCUACAACAUGUAUGUCAUCAACAUCAACAACUGUAACUCCACCAACAAAAAUGCCAGAUACAACAAAAACAACUACAAUUACCCUGACAUCCACAGAACCAAUCAACGACACAUAUAGUCCACAAAGUUAUGAGAACCCGUCCCAUAACAUCUUGCUGCUGCUGUCGUUCCUCCUGAACGUCGUCCUGCUGACGGUUGUCGUGUACACGUGUUGUAGUUCGAACCAAAAACAGCAGACGGACGCCUGUAUGCUGAAUGGAGCCCCACUGACUGAGUACCAGCUCAGCACGCCACUGGAAACUGAAAAAGAAUGUGACAGAGAAUCCAAACAUCUGAUUCAGCACCACUCUCACACCGUCACCAUGUCACCAGCUGAUUGAAGGGAGCUGCAGGAUGUGGCGGAGGACUCCAGCAGCACCAGCUCUGUGUAGCAGGGACUCAGCUCCAGGCUCAGCUCUUUCAUUCCAGUGUUAGCUCCAGCUACUGGCUCUUUGUAUAUUGGAGUCACCUUGAUCAGCUGUUUGCAUGCAGCUGUGGCAGCUGUAGUUUAAUUGUAUUUUUCAUGCCUGUUAGCCUGUAAUAAUACCCACAGCUUCGUGGAUGCAGCUCGGGAAAGUACUGAUCGAUCUCAAAUACUCACGCGCUUCCGUAUUAAUUUCUUUUUUGUUGUUUGAAUUAUGUAACACUGGAAGAAGCUAGCUGGCUCUAUACUAGCACAGAGUGUGGUUAGGACGAAGCUCGUCAGGAAAAAACACAAAAAACACACCAGAGAGGCUAAGUUUGUUAGCAGAACUGUAGCUAAAGCUAAGUGGAGCUGAAAGUGGCAGCAGUAUGUUCUCACCUGUCCAUGUCAGGUCGGCCUGUAAAUCUGAAAGUAUUAUUUUCAUUCGUUGAACAAACUGAAGCCGUUGCCGCCCAGCUGUCUGGAUGCAGUGAACACACACAGGUGCACUAACAAAGCUCAGGUUUUUCAUUUGAUGGCGUCAGACUGACUGUGACUGUAUUGAUUAUAGAGGAAAUAUGAAUUUUGAAUGUUGAUGUUUAAGCUUGAUGCAGAAAUUAUGAUUUUUUUUCUCUCUGCUGUAUCAUGUGCUGCUUUUACCUUCAACCUCAUAACAUUAUAUUUUUUUAAUCAUUCAUACAGAGUGUGUUACAAGGUGCAGAGUACAUUACUCAUCCAUACGUUUUUGACUGUGAGCGGCCAUCUUGAAUUUUGAGGUUAGGGUUGGUGGCUGUGUCUGAAAUCACUCCCUCCCUCACUCCCUACCCCCAUGUGUGGAGGUCAGUGUCGCGCAGCAUGCAGUGAACUCAUUGUGAAAGCAUUUUCGGACGAUUCAGACAUGUCACAAAUUAAACGAUCCGAUCUCUGCCGGCUAAACAAACUACGCAGUUAUAAUUAGUUUGAUUUCCGCUAGGCAAGCAGAGACCAUUGGAUGGACACUACUUUACAAUGAUGCAUUGUGGGAUGCAUUGAGGGCCCUGUAUGGGGUCUAGAAUUUCUCACUAAGAGUUCGGACAGCACUACAAAAUGGCGGAGGCUCUGUAUAGCACCAUAUGUAGUGAUCAGGGAGUGACUUCACACACAGCCUUUCUGAUAUUCUCACCCUGCAUGUACCAGUUAGCCAGUUAGCUUAAUGCUAAUGCUAUGCUAUAUAUUGCUAUAAUGUGAUCGUGACUCCUGUGAAUAGUUCUUCCUGCAAAUGCAACAAUCCAGCGUUACACAAGGUCUAACGUUACCAAACGUAUCCAGUCUUAUUACAAGAAUGCAGACUUUACCAACAUAUCGUCACAUUAUAACCAACAUUUAUACAAAUAUAAUAACCUACAUAACAAUAAUAUAUAUCAUAUAUAAUAUCCUCAAUAUGGUUUAAAACCACUGUGUGUGUGUUUGUGUGUUUUGAUGAUCCACUUUAUUUAUUGUUUAACAAACAGAAAAUGAUGUGUGUGUGUGUGUGUGUGUGUGUGUGACAGGAAGAGCACACUGUAAGCUGUGGGGAAAGUGUUUUUUUAAGUCUUUAAACAGGCAUGUGUCAUAUGGUGUCUGUAUUACCUGUGAAUAAAAUGUCUUUACUCUGCCC